UUUGCUUAAUUGUCGUUUCCGUUCUUCUUCAUUCUCGGCGUCAUCUCCAUGCCCUUCAAAAGCGAUCUCAGGACAAGAACGAUUCUGCUAUUGAAUAUGUGGAAGAUAGUACAAUGGGUUGGAUUUAAGCUUAAACGUAUGAUGAAACGUUUCAAGUAGCUAGAGAAUUUUUAAGUAUCGUAGAGAAUCAUCUAGGCCCGGAUUAUGGGUUGACGAUGAUAUGCGAUGUUAAUUUUUUAUAACAUCAUGAGAAAAUUCUGGUUAAUUCUGGUCUAUUACGUCAUCUCCACAGCGUGAUUUUGGAUGACCUAGGCGUCUGCGGUGGCGGAACCGGCAGGGUCUUCAAUCAUCGAGUGAGGUUCCAAUCGAAAACCAAGGACCCGGUUCGGAUUCUGGAUCGGAAUAUGGAGAGCCGGAGCUGAGAUCCUCUGAUCCUCAAGGUGUGGAUGCGGAGAAGCCCGUUGUUCUCACUGAUUAGCCUUUGAGGGAGGCCUCUCCUGAAACCGAUGUUAACCCUGAAGUCGAUGUAUUGGCCACACCUACAGUUGCAGACUGGGUUCUAACCUAGAAAUUGUUGAGCGGGUUAAUGUGGCGGUGGUAACUAAGGCUGAGACAAUGACUAUUAGAGAAAUAUACACCUACAUCCAACAGGAAUCUGCAAAGGAGUUUUUUGGAGUUCAUAGCCACAAUUGAUAGUUUAUCCUCAAAUGUGGCUUCAGAUAUCCCACUGAAUUUGCAAUACCAGGAGGAUUUGGUGUUACAGUUGGAUUUUCCCGCUUCUGUUAUUUGAGUUACAAAUACUUAAAGUUGAGUAGUGGCAUGAGAUAGAGCAGAGUGAUAUGUGACCACAAAAAUUUUCUUCUACAUCUGGAAAACUAACUUGGUGGACCCGAGGAAGAAGUGAGACAGAAGAGAAAAUUAAAGAUAUGCGAUCCAACCCUGAAGAUUUGGUUGUGGCCAUCGUUCAACCCAUGAUAUUCUCUUAUCUCAUCAUGCGAAUUCUGCAAAUUAGUCUCAUGUCUCCAAAUUUGCUUACUUUAUGCCUUCUGAAAGUAAUAUAUUGCCAGGGCCAUCCACGAGUCCAUCAGAGAGAUGGAAGGGACUUUGCUGAUCGGGUCAUUUCAGUGCGGAGCUGAAAUGUGGUGGACGGCAAUGACAGACGAAGGAGAAGGGAUAACAUCGUCACAAUUAUAUUUCACAUGAUUCACCACAACCUAACCUCCCAUCAAGAUCGACGGUGAUAAGAUAUUAUGCAUGCAUUCCUUUCUCCUGAUUUGAUAACGGUGGAACAGAUUACAAACAUUAAGCUACCUACUGAUGUUCCACCCUCUGAUUAGCUCUGCUUUUGAUCUGAUCAAGCAAAGAUGUCAAAGUCUGGUGGAUGAAUGGACCACCGUGGAGUCUUUUACACGUUUGGACCUGAAAAGGUCGCUGAGUUUCUAAUAAAAACGAUAUGGAUCUCAUCUGUAAUG